CUGGCAGUAAACGGUGCACGCUUGGUGUGGCAGGAAUCGACCCCUGCCGUGCCGGAGCUAACGCGUUAAGCGUGCCGCCUGGGAAGUACGGUCGCAAGAUUAAAACUCAAAGAAAUUGACGGGGACCCGCACAAGCGGUGGAGUAUGUGGCUUAAUUCGAUGCAACGCGAAGAACCUUACCUGGGCUUGACAUGCAUUCUGUCAUCGGUGAAAGCCGGUUAGUGGAGCAAUCCACGGUUUGCACAGGUGU
rnacentral:rRNA from 1 species